GAGGAGGAACCUCUCAAGUGCUUUUACAUUAUUUUUGUAUCUUUUGAGACAGAGUCUCACUGUCACCCAGGCUGGAGUGCAGUGGUGCCAUCUCAGCUCACUGCAACCUCCACCUCCUGGGUUCAAGCAAUUCUCCUGCCUCAGCAUCAUGAAUAGCGGAGACUACAGGUGUGUGCCUAUUUUUUGUAUUUUUACUAGAGAUGAAGUUUCGCUAUGUUGAUCAGGGCGGUCUAAAAAUCCUGACCUCAAGUGAUCUACCCACCUUGGCCUCCCAAAGUGUUGCGAUUACAGGGCCUGGAUCUGCUUCCAUAGCAGAAAGAACAAAGCCUCCAACUCUGACAUCGCCCGGCUAAUCACAGAAGUGUGUCCAGGCUUCAAUCCUCCAGAAAUCCCACUCUUGGGCAUCUACCCAGAGGAAAAGAAGUCAUUAUAGGAAAAAGAUACUUGCACACGCGUGUUUAUAGAGCAACACAAUUUUCAACUGCAGAAAUACGGAACCAGCCAAAAUGCUCAUCAGUGGAGGAGUGGAUAAAGAAACUGUGCUGUAUAUAUUUAUAUCAUGGAAUACUAUUAAGCCAUAAAAAGGAACAGAAUAAUGGCUUCACAGCACCCAGGAUGAAAUUGGAGACCCUUAUUCUAAGUGAAGUAACCCAGGAAUGGAACCCCAAACAUUGCAUGUUCUCACUUACAAAUGGGAGCUAAGCUGUGGGGACAGAAAGGCAUAAGAUGAUACAAAGGAAUUUGGGGACCUGGGGAGAGGCUGGGAGGGGUGAGGGAUAAAAGAAAACAAAUAGGGUGCAGUGUGCACUGCCCAGGU
rnacentral:lncRNA from 13 species